AUGCUCACUUCAGCAGCAUAAAUACUAAAAUUGGAGUGAUACAGAAAAGAUUAGCAGGGCCUCAAUGCAAGGAUGACCUGCAAAUUCAUGAAGUGUUUCACAGUUUU
ensembl:snRNA U6 U6 spliceosomal RNA